rnacentral:rRNA from 1 species
CCUACGGGAGGCAGCAGUGAGGAAUAUUGGUCAAUGGUCGGGAGACUGAACCAGCCAAGCCGCGUGAGGGAUGAAGGUACAGAGUAUCGUAAACCUCUUUUGUCAGGGAACAAAGGCGGGGACGUGUCCCCGGAUGAGUGUACCUGAAGAAAAAGCAUCGGCUAACUCCGUGCCAGCAGCCGCGGUAAUACGGAGGAUGCGAGCGUUAUCCGGAUUUAUUGGGUUUAAAGGGUGCGCAGGCGGUCUGUUAAGUCAGCGGUCAAAGUCCGGGGCUCAACCCCGGCACGGCGUUGGAAACUGGCAGUCUCGAGUUGGAGAGAGGUAGGCGGAAUGCGCGGUGUAGCGGUGAAAUGCAUAGAUAUCGCGAAGAACUCCGAUUGCGAAGGCAGCAUGCCGGCUCCACACUGACGCUGAGGCACGAAAGCGUGGGUAUCGAACAGGAUUAGAUACCCGAGUAGUC